rnacentral:rRNA from 1 species
AUACGUAGGUCCCGAACGUUGCGCGAAAUUACUGGGCGUAAAGGGUCCGUAGGCGGUCUGGUAAGUGGAAGGUGAAAGCCUGGGGCUCAACUCCAGAAUUGCCUUCCAAACUGCCGGACUUGAGGCAGGGAGAGGUCGGCGGAAUUCCCGGUGUAGCGGUGAAAUGCGUAGAUAUCGAGAGGAACAACAGUGGCGAAGGCGGUCGACUGGAACUGUCCUGACGCUGAGGGACGAAAGCCAGGGGAGCGAACCGGAUUAGAUACCCUAGUAGUCC